rnacentral:rRNA from 1 species
GUCGAGCGGACAGAUGGGAGCUUGCUCCCUGAUGUUAGCGGCGGACGGGUGAGUAACACGUGGGUAACCUGCCUGUAAGACUGGGAUAACUCCGGGAAACCGGGGCUAAUACCGGAUGGUUGUUUGAACCGCAUGGUUCAGACAUAAAAGGUGGCUUCGGCUACCACUUACAGAUGGACCCGCGGCGCAUUAGCUAGUUGGUGAGGUAACGGCUCACCAAGGCGACGAUGCGUAGCCGACCUGAGAGGGUGAUCGGCCACACUGGGACUGAGACACGGCCCAGACUCCUACGGGAGGCAGCAGUAGGGAAUCUUCCGCAAUGGACGAAAGUCUGACGGAGCAACGCCGCGUGAGUGAUGAAGGUUUUCGGAUCGUAAAGCUCUGUUGUUAGGGAAGAACAAGUGCCGUUCAAAUAGGGCGGCACCUUGACGGUACCUAACCAGAAAGCCACGGCUAACUACGUGCCAGCAGCCGCGGUAAUACGUAGGUGGCAAGCGUUGUCCGGAAUUAUUGGGCGUAAAGGGCUCGCAGGCGGUUUCUUAAGUCUGAUGUGAAAGCCCCCGGCUCAACCGGGGAGGGUCAUUGGAAACUGGGGAACUUGAGUGCAGAAGAGGAGAGUGGAAUUCCACGUGUAGCGGUGAAAUGCGUAGAGAUGUGGAGGAACACCAGUGGCGAAGGCGACUCUCUGGUCUGUAACUGACGCUGAGGAGCGAAAGCGUGGGGAGCGAACAGGAUUAGAUACCCUGGUAGUCCACGCCGUAAACGAUGAGUGCUAAGUGUUAGGGGGUUUCCGCCCCUUAGUGCUGCAGCUAACGCAUUAAGCACUCCGCC